rnacentral:tRNA from 3 species
GCGCCCUUAGCUCAGUAGGAUAGAGCAACAGCCUUCUAAGCUGUGGGUCAGAGGUUCGAAUCCUCUAGGGCGCG